rnacentral:rRNA from 1 species
UGCGAAUACCGGAGAAUGUUAUCACGGGAGACACACGGCGGGUGCUAAUGUCCGUCGUGAAGAGGGAAACAACCCAGACCGCCAGCUAAGGUCCCAAAGUCAUGGUUAAGUGGGAAACGAUGUGGGAAGGCCCAGACAGCCAGGAUGUUGGCUUAGAAGCAGCCAUCAUUUAAAGAAAGCGUAAUAGCUCACUGGUCGAGUCGGCCUGCGCGGAAGAUGUAACGGGGCUAAACCAUGCACCGAAGCUGCGGCAGCGACACCGUGUGUUGUUGGGUAGGGGAGCGUUCUGUAAGCCUGUGAAGGUGUGCUGUGAGGCAUGCUGGAGGUAUCAGAAGUGCGAAUGCUGACAUAAGUAACGAUAAAGCGGGUGAAAAGCCCGCUCGCCGGAAGACCAAGGGUUCCUGUCCAACGUUAAUCGGGGCAGGGUGAGUCGACCCCUAAGGCGAGGCCGAAAGGCGUAGUCGAUGGGAAACGGGUUAAUAUUCCCGUACUUGGUGUUACUGCGAAGGGGGGACGGAGAAGGCUAUGUUGGCCGGGCGACGGUUGUCCCGGUUUAAGCGUGUAGGUAUGUGUUCCAGGUAAAUCCGGUUCACUUUAACACUGAGGCGUGACGACGAGGCACUACGGUGCUGAAGCAACAAAUGCCCUGCUUCCAGGAAAAGCCUCUAAGCAUCAGGUAACAUCAAAUCGUACCCCAAACCGACACAGGUGGUCAGGUAGAGAAUACCAAGGCGCUUGAGAGAACUCGGGUGAAGGAACUAGGCAAAAUGGUGCCGUAACUUCGGGAGAAGGCACGCUGACACGUAGGUGAAGUGAUUUACUCACGGAGCUGAAGUCAGCCGAAGAUACCAGCUGGCUGCAACUGUUUAUUAAAAACACAGCACUGUGCAAACACGAAAGUGGACGUAUACGGUGUGACGCCUGCCCGGUGCCGGAAGGUUAAUUGAUGGGGUCAGCGCAAGCGAAGCUCCUGAUCGAAGCCCCGGUAAACGGCGGCCGUAACUAUAACGGUCCUAAGGUAGCGAAAUUCCUUGUCGGGUAAGUUCCGACCUGCACGAAUGGCGUAAUGAUGGCCAGGCUGUCUCCACCCGAGACUCAGUGAAAUUGAACUCGCUGUGAAGAUGCAGUGUACCCGCGGCAAGACGGAAAGACCCCGUGAACCUUUACUAUAGCUUGACACUGAACAUUGAGCCUUGAUGUGUAGGAUAGGUGGGAGGCUUUGAAGUGUGGACGCCAGUCUGCAUGGAGCCGACCUUGAAAUACCACCCUUUAAUGUUUGAUGUUCUAACGUGGACCCGUGAUCCGGGUUGCGGACAGUGUCUGGUGGGUAGUUUGACUGGGGCGGUCUCCUCCUAAAGAGUAACGGAGGAGCACGAAGGUUGGCUAAUCCUGGUCGGACAUCAGGAGGUUAGUGCAAUGGCAUAAGCCAGCUUGACUGCGAGCGUGACGGCGCGAGCAGGUGCGAAAGCAGGUCAUAGUGAUCCGGUGGUUCUGAAUGGAAGGGCCAUCGCUCAACGGAUAAAAGGUACUCCGGGGAUAACAGGCUGAUACCGCCCAAGAGUUCAUAUCGACGGCGGUGUUUGGCACCUCGAUGUCGGCUCAUCACAUCCUGGGGCUGAAGUAGGUCCCAAGGGUAUGGCUGUUCGCCAUUUAAAGUGGUACGCGAGCUGGGUUUAGAACGUCGUGAGACAGUUCGGUCCCUAUCUGCCGUGGGCGCUGGAGAACUGAGGGGGGCUGCUCCUAGUACGAGAGGACCGGAGUGGACGCAUCACUGGUGUUCGGGUUGUCAUGCCAAUGGCACUGCCCGGUAGCUAAAUGCGGAAGAGAUAAGUGCUGAAAGCAUCUAAGCACGAAACUUGCCCCGAGAUGAGUUCUCCCUGAGACUUUAGGUCUCCUGAAGGAACGUUGAAGACGACGACGUUGAUAGGCCGGGUGUGUAAGCGCAGCGAUGCGUUGAGCUAACCGGUACUAAUGAACCGUGAGGCUUAACCUUACAACGCCGAAG